UUCUGGUGAGGACAUGAUUCAAAUUCGGAAGCCUCUCGAGAAUGCGUGAAGAAGAGCUAUGGCCAGAUCCUCGCCUUCAACGAGGUGUGAGGAGGAGCCUGUGGCUGAGACUGCAUCAGCAUAGAUGCUGCAACCCAUCACGGCGAGUUCCUCGGCCUCUGUUACGGACGAUGCAGCAGUAACUCAAGACACCAUUCAUGACUCGUGCCACUUCUACAUUUUCUUUCUCUGUUCUAGUUACUUACGUGAUUUAUUCCUGGUACUUGUUGCUGCUGUAUUCUGAUUACUUGUUGUGACCGGUAUUGAGAGAUUUUGGUGGUUUCUUUGAGUA